rnacentral:rRNA from 1 species
CAGCAGCCGCGGUAAUACGUAGGUGGCAAGCGUUGUCCGGAAUUAUUGGGCGUAAAGGGCUCGCAGGCGGUUUCUUAAGUCUGAUGUGAAAGCCCCCGGCUCAACCGGGGAGGGUCAUUGGAAACUGGGAAACUUGAGUGCAGAAGAGGAGAGUGGAAUUCCGCGUGUAGCGGUGAAAUGCGUAGAGAUGUGGAGGAACACCAGUGGCGAAGGCGACUCUCUGGUCUGUAACUGACGCUGAGGAGCGAAAGCGUGGGGAGCGAACAGGAUUAGAUACCCCCGUAGUCCCUGUCUCUUAUAA